rnacentral:rRNA from 1 species
GUGUCAGCAGCCGCGGUAAUACGGAGGAUGCGAGCGUUAUCCGGAAUCAUUGGGUUUAAAGGGUCCGUAGGCGGUUUAAUAAGUCAGUGGUGAAAUCUGGUCGCUCAACGAUCAAACUGCCAUUGAUACUGUUAGACUUGAAUUACUGUGAAGUAACUAGAAUAUGUAGUGUAGCGGUGAAAUGCUUAGAUAUUACAUGGAAUACCAAUUGCGAAGGCAGGUUACUAACAGUGGAUUGACGCUGAUGGACGAAAGCGUGGGGAGCGAACAGGAUUAGAUACCCUGGUAGUCCACGCCGUAAACGAUGGAUACUAGUUGUUUGGAUUUAUCUGAGUGACUAAGCGAAAGUGAUAAGUAUCCCACCUGGGGAGUACGAACGCAAGUUUGAA